rnacentral:rRNA from 1 species
UACGUAGGGUGCAAGCGUUGUCCGGAAUUAUUGGGCGUAAAGAGCUCGUAGGCGGCCUGUUGCGUCGGCUGUGAAAACCCGGGGCUCAACCCCGGGCCUGCAGUCGAUACGGGCAGGCUAGAGUCCGGUAGGGGAGACUGGAAUUCCUGGUGUAGCGGUGAAAUGCGCAGAUAUCAGGAGGAACACCGGUGGCGAAGGCGGGUCUCUGGGCCGAUACUGACGCUGAGGAGCGAAAGCGUGGGGAGCGAACAGG